CACAGUGUUUAAAUGAUUCUUUUUAAGCUAACACAAAAUUUGUAUCACUUUGUCAAGGACUCUGGUGGGCUAUAGAUGCGGCUAUCGCUUUAUUGAUCUGUUAUGGGACAGUCGAUUCUCACUUCGGGACUUCAGGCCAACUCUGCGUUAAGCUGACAGCAAUUCAAAUAUGAUUUUAAUAUGGUUUCAAAGCAUAGCUUCCCAGGCCCUAGAAACAAAUGCACUGCUGUCUCCCUGCCCCCUGUGGGUUGGAGCAAGAGAGGCUGCUGGCUCAGGUGGAAUGGCUUAAUUGGUAACCUAAUAUCUGUUUACAAAACUGGAUGUGCAAGACACUUGGCUUGCCCAAGUCACCCCACAGAGGGGUUUGACCUUAACCAGCUCACAGAUCUCAAUUUUUGCAGACAAAAGAUUAAUUAGCACCCGCCGUGAAAUGAAGUGGUGUGUGAAGAUGACAUGUUGCUUCUCUGAGACCUUAGGCAAGUGUUAUGUGUUAACUGUCAACUUGACAGAAUCCGGAACCACUUGGGAGCUUAACAUCCAGU
rnacentral:lncRNA from 1 species